rnacentral:rRNA from 1 species
CGAAAGCCUGACGGAGCAACGCCGCGUGCGGGACGACGGCCUGUGGGUUGUAAACCGCUUUUCUCAGGGAAGAAGAUCUGACGGUACCUGAGGAAUCAGCAUCGGCUAACUCCGUGCCAGCAGCCGCGGUAAGACGGAGGAGGCAAGCGUUAUCCGGAAUUAUUGGGCGUAAAGCGUCCGCAGGUGGCGAUUCAAGUCUGCUGUCAAAGCACGGGGCUUAACUCCGUUAAGGCAGUGGAAACUGAAUGGCUAGAGUGCCGUAGGGGUAGAGGGAAUUCCCGGUGUAGCGGUGAAAUGCGUAGAGAUCGGGAAGAACAUCGGUGGCGAAAGCGCUCUACUGGGCCGCGACUGACGCUGAGGGACGAAAGCUAGGGGAGCG